CUGCCAGGAGAGAAGGAAGGAAGGAGGGAGGGGAGGGAAAUGCAGGAGCUCGGGAUCUGCAGGCUCUCCCUGGCCCCGGGAAGCUGCAAAGACCCAGCAUGUGCGGCCAGACCGGCCUGGACGUGCAGGGUCCAGCGGGGCCUGGUACGAGACAGUUUUCAGCUGCAGGGAAAAUCUCAAGAAGUGUUCUUUGGACAUCUAGAGAAGGAAAGGAAAUCAGUUCAGAAUGGUGCUUCCCUUUUCUCCAUCACUCUUGAAAAGAAGGUGGCGGCAGCUGUGGAGCUUUUUUUUUUAAGCUUAGAUUUUUCUAGUCUCACCCAAGAGAACUACAGCAUCAGAAACUGUGUGUGUGUGUGUGCGUGCACGCACAUGUGCAUGGGAAGGAGGGGCGUGGAGAGGGCUGAGCCCCAAUGCAGAUGGGGGCGGGUGAGUUGAAGGCCUGGCAUACUGCAGGCUACCACAAAGGCAUAAAAUCAAUAGAUUUGAACAGAUGUUUAUGAGUUAUGUAUAUAUGUUAAACUUCGUGCUGGGAUGGGUUGUACAAAGCUAAAGUUUAGAUGGGUAAUGGAGAACCAAGAGCCUUAGGGUUAUUUAUACAGGGAGUCAGUUGCCUCUGGGCGAUUAGCGGAGGGAUGGCCCCAGCUAAGCAGUGGGGAAGCAAAAGUGAGUUUGAAGUCACCUUCCUCAACUGGAACAGCUGCUGAAGAAAUUUGCACCCCUUUUAGAUUAACAUUCUAGUCUUGCCUCUGAGAUUUUUCCAAGGUGCAAGAAAGAAAAUCAUCCUAUUCAAUUAAACAUAGGCCCUUGAUGUGAACUCUGCUGCCUGUCAAAGAGAUCACAUAAUUAAUUUUUUAAAUUUCAGUUAUUUGGAAUUCAGCCCAUUUUGGUGAUUAGCCACGUGCUCUUCUUGCUCACACGCCCUCUCUCUUCUGUGUUUCCCAUCUAAGGUUGGGAUAAGAUGGUAAGAUGGUGACGCAGCCUGGAGCAGGUUCUGUGUCGGCCCCAGGUAAGCAGGUGCAGCCCCAGUCAGCUUGCCAGCCUGACUCCCAGCUCCAUCCUCUCUUCACCCCUCAGACAGAUAUCCUAAAAGAGCUGUACAGAAGCGCGUGGAUGUGGAGAGAAGGGAACACUUUUACGCUGCUGGUGGGAAUGCAAACUAGUACAACCUUUCUGGAAGGAAGUAUGGAGAAACCUCAAAGCACUCAAGCUAGACCUCCCAUUCGAUCCUGCAAUCCCAUUACUGGGUAUCUACCCAGAAGGAAAAAAAUCCUUUUAUCAUAAGGACACUUGUACUAGACUGUUUAUUGCAGCUCAAUUUACAAUCGCCAAAAUGUGGAAACAGCCUAAAUGCCUACCAACCCAGGAAUGGAUUAACAAGCUGUGGUAUAUGUAUACCAUGGAAUACUAUUCAGCCAUUAAAAAAAAUGGAGACUUUACAUCCUUCGUAUUAACCUGGAUGGACGUGGAAGACAUUAUUCUUAGUAAAGCAUCACAAGAAUGGAGAAGCAUGAAUCCUAUGUACUCAAUUUUGAUAUGAGGACAAUUA